CUCGUAGGCGGUUUGUCGCGUCUGCCGUGAAAUCCUCUGGCUUAACUGGGGGCGUGCGGUGGGUACGGGCAGACUGGAGUGCGGUAGGGGAGACUGGAAUUCCUGGUGUAGCGGUGGAAUGCGCAGAUAUCAGGAGGAACACCGGUGGCGAAGGCGGGUCUCUGGGCCGUUACUGACGCUGAGGAGCGAAAGCAUGGGGAGCAACA
rnacentral:rRNA from 1 species